UUUUCUCUUCAAAAAGGAACAAUAUAAACUGUUGAAAAAAAUGAAAGAAAAAGAAAAGAACCUGAACAAGGCUGCUUCACUUCUGCAUUGAUGAUGCAUGGUUGACCAGCCAGGACAGCACCUCAACAGUGAAAAGUGACUUCUUGGAUAAAGAAGUCUCAAGCCACCUAUGAAUAGAUCUGCAAUGGAGCUGCAUGGACCUUGAUCCACACUUUCACAAAGUGCUACAGGAAUGAAGAAAUGAUAAGGGUUGGUUGUCCUUACGAGUGAGAUUAAGAGCCACAAAGAGUGAGGCUUUCCAAGUGGGGUUUGAGGAUGCCUGAAAGCAGAACUUUAGUCGCCUGAACCUUGCACAGCUAUCAUCAACAGACAAGAAGUAGCUUUUGAGAACUGUGUACUGCUGCAACAAUCUUAAUAGCUAUUUCCAGGCUAAGCCAUCAAGGAUGAACAUGCUUCAGAAUCUGUCGGUAUUCAACUUCACAGAAACUACAAAACUCCUCCAAGAAUGACUGUCAUUUUGUACUUUUGUCAAAGUAAUAGUAACAAUCAAUACAUACAUCUUCAACAUCAAAUCCUGACACUUUAGAAACCUGUGAAGCACCAGCAGUAUUGUAGAUGAUGUAGUAUGGACAUCCCAUGAAAUACACACAUUAAUUCUUACUUUGAAAAAGGAUCUUAAUUGAAUUAUUCUUACCCAUGUUUACACUGGCACUGUCUACGGAAAAUUCAG